GAUGAACGCUAGCGGCAGGCCUAAUACAUGCAAGUCGAACGGGCCAGCAAUGGUCAGUGGCGCACGGGUGCGUAACGCGUAUGCAACCUACCUUCUACUGGGGGAUAGCCUUCCGAAAGGAAGAUUAAUACCGCAUAACAUCACAUGAGGGCAUCUGAGUGUGAUCAAAGAUUUAUUGGUAGAAGAUGGGCAUGCGUGACAUUAGCUAGUUGGUGCAGGUAACGGCUCACCAAGGCUACGAUGUCUAGGGGUUCUGAGAGGAUGAUCCCCCACACUGGUACUGAGAUACGGACCAGACUCCUACGGGAGGCAGCAGUAGGGAAUAUUGGGCAAUGGGCGCAAGCCUGACCCAGCCAUGCCGCGUGCAGGAUGAAGGCCUUCUGGGUUGUAAACUGCUUUUAUCAGGGAAGAAAAAGCUCCUGCGGGAGCAACUGACGGUACCUGAGGAAUAAGCACCGGCUAACUCCGUGC
rnacentral:rRNA from 1 species